AGCGAACGCUGGCGGCAGGCCUAACACAUGCAAGUCGAACGGACCCUUCGGGGUUAGUGGCGGACGGGUGAGUAACACGUGGGAACGUGCCUUUAGGUUCGGAAUAGCUCCUGGAAACGGGUGGUAAUGCCGAAUGUGCCCUUCGGGGAAAGUUUUAUCGCCUUUAGAGCGGCCCGCGUCUGAUUAGCUAGUUGGUGAGGUAAUGGCUCACCAAGGCGACGAUCAGUAGCUGGUCUGAGAGGAUGACCAGCCACAUUGGGACUGGGACACGGCCCAAACUCCUACGGGAGGCAGCAGUGGGGAAUCUUGCGCAAUGGGCGAAAGCCUGACGCAGCCAUGCCGCGUGAAUGAUGAAGGUCUUAGGAUUGUAAAAUUCUUUCACCGGGGACGAUAAUGACGGUACCCGGAGAAGAAGCCCCGGCUAACUUCGUGCCAGCAGCCGCCGUAAUAC
rnacentral:rRNA from 1 species